UUUUUUUUUUUUUUUUUUUUUUUGGUCCAGCAGAAGGAAAGAGGCAGGAAUGGAUUCUAUUGCAGAAAUGCCUGGAGGGUCACACGGACAGCUGAGGUUAAGAAAAAUGCCAGAGAUUUCAUCCAGGUGCUUUGAGCAAUGUUUUCCUUAGGCUUGCACUAAAACACCAACUCUUCCCAAGCAUUCCAGCCAGCAUCCACUGGUCAAGUCCUGAGUAGGAACCUCUGCAACAGUGUGUUUACUCUUUCUGAGGUAUAAGCAGAAGACAGUGCUGAGCUGUAGCUCUUCUUAUUUUGAAUUUUUGCCUAAGAGAAACUCCAGCCCCAGACUCCUGUGUACUCAAGAUGGAUGAUAGUACUUUGAGGUGACAGCUGAGGGCACUGUGCUGUAAUAUGCAAUUUAUGUCUCUAAUGCGUUCUUAAGCCACUAGAAGCUAAUCACAAGGAAGCAGAAAUCAUAAAAUACAUGCAAGUACUUGCACCAUCUGAAAAUACUUCCCCAGGUAUCACAGAGAGCACCAGAAGUAAAAUGAGAUUGGCAUAAUCUGGACACUUGACUGAAAUGAGCAGAGCUUUCAUAAGUCAACUAUUUACAUGCCUGAGUCUUUGUACCACUCAAACUUCUUGACCACAGUAGGGCCAAGCAUUUUGCAGAAUUAAAAAUAUCCAAAAAGAGGGUAUUAUUUUACUAGACUUGUGACUUUAGGAAUACUUUUAACAGAAACAAAGCAGAAUUACAUUCUAAACCAGCUGAUCAGCAUCUUGUCCAUUCGUGGGAUGUGCUCUCGCACACUGAGAGACCCAAGACAAAUCCCUAUUGACUUUCAUGGGGGUUUGCCUGAACAGACAGGCAACAGGGCUCCUUUAAAGUGUACCUGUACUUGCCAGUGCAAGGAACCAUGCACUGAUUUCCUCAGACAGCAGGAGCCAAAUGAAUCUAAUGAAUGUCAUUUUAUCUGCUGCUGUGGCUGUUUGUAAUAAUAAACCUACUUCAUUCCUUAGUCUCUGCAAUUUCUUUCUUGGAGACCAAGAUAAGGUCUCCAAGAAAGAAAAUACAGAAGUGUUAGAAAUCACAGCUAUUCUUCCCUCUCUGCUAGAUGUUGUCUAAUGAGUUCAGCAAAUUAUAUUCAAAAGGCUGUUUUGUGAUUAGAAGUGUCACUACUGGAUCCCUGAAGGCCACAGCCAUGCCCCUGUGUCCUUAUGUGCAGACCUUUUAUUAAGUUGGGGCUCUGCUUCUUGUGUUUGAAGCAUUCAAACCUUCAAAGAGUCCAAAAAUGCUUAAAAAAAUUACAACAUGUAACAAAUACUCCAUGUUCAUGGAGGAGAUAGCAGCCAUUUUGAUGCCUGACAUUUUGGGCAAAAUCAGAGUUUUAUAUGAGUUUCUGGACCACAAUCUGAAAAACAAUUCUCUCCUGGAUUUACCCAUAUUUUUUUCAACCUAUGUAUGUAACACUGGACAACUAACCUAGAAAUCCAAAAAUCCUAGUACCAACCACAGAGUUUGAAGAUUGAUGACACAGAUUCAGAAAUAUUUGUGGAAGCAUGGAGAAACAAAAGUGAAAGGUUAUCUUCUAUGCCACAGUCUGAUACAGUCUUUCCUUCAAAGAUCUGAUGCAGUAUUUUUUCCUACAGAAACAGAUAAAACCAGAAACUAGAAAAAUUGGACAGAAAACUAGUGCUGGCUCCCCAUGCAAAGGAAUAAGACUUUUUUUAAAGUAGCUAUAAGACUUCAUGUCAACUAAUGCCAGCAGAUAUUUCAAGAGGACCAAAAGAAGAGAAAGUUCAUUCCUGCUCCUUAACCCACAGAAGCACUUUUUUCUCUUCUGGGUUUUUUUGCUGUAGUUCAACAGAACUGCAGGAUUACCUUACUCAUGCCCACAGCUCCUUGGAGUUUAACAUACCAGCCUAAAUAUUCAUAUUGAAGUUGUGGCUAUGAGAUUUUUCACUCAGCUGUUUGUCUGAUUUGGAGAGAUGGAAAGAAGACAGUGCAGGAACCAACCAUCUGUGUUCUUACCUGAGUGCCACGUAAAACUUAACCCUUAUGAGUUCAGUGUAAGAUGUAAUUCAUAAGAGAAGGGAAAGAGGACUACUCUGAGAAUCCCGUGAAAACAGAGAUCAUGCUUGGGUUCUUCCAGCACCUCAUGUUUGACAAAUACAGCAACAUCCAUAUGCUGGAACUGGGCUGCACAACUCAGAACCAUCCCAGUUUUACUAAUGAAAUAACACAAUUAACUGUGAAGAGGCAAUGGAAACAAACAGACAUUCAGAAAUCACUCCAUGUCCCACACUGCUGCCAAGGCCUCUCGAGCAGCAGCACUGCUGCUGUAAUGUUACAGCAGCAGUGAUUUUGAAGUUAGCAGCAACUUGGCCCUUCCAGCCAGGCUGAGUCACUCCUUCUCAUCAGACAGAAAUGACUUUACACCCUGGAACAUCAGAGCCCUGAUCUCCACCUGUGUUUCUUUUCUCCUAAGCCUAUUUUUUGCUUCCUACCUGCUGGUGCUGGUGGUUGUGCUCUCCCAGCAGGCUCGGAGCGCCGCUCCCAGUGUGACUGGCACGUUAUUAACGGAGAGGUGGCUGCUGCCUCUCAUUACACUUCCACUGAGUGAAAGCACCUCAGAACUAAUUUAGCUUUCACUCACAGGGGAAGACACAGUACUCCACCAAGAAGUUCGCUAUUCUGCUGCCUUUAGCAAUAAAUUCCCCUUCUUUUUUUCUUUUAACAUUAAUAAGGUGAGAGAAUAGAGUAUUUCCAAAAGAAAUUAAGAAAUGCAGAAGAUAGAUGCAAGUGCAGAGGCUCCCUGUGAGUAACCACCAAGCCCAAGUCAGAGAGAUAACACGAAUACCGAAGCAGAUGUACAGGGUGGGGAAGAGCUCCACGGGCAAACAAGCAGUAAUAAAGCCUGUGCCUAGUGCACAGAGUUAAGCAGGUCUCUCAACCAUUUAAACUUUCUUCCCUGUUUGUGAGAGUUCUCUGUGGCAACAAAUGCAAAACUCCUGUGAAAUUAAGGACUACAGAAAUAAUUUUGCUCCCCAGGCUGAGAAGGUCAAACAGAUUCAGAAAGUACUUCAUAUCCAUCACUGUAAGAAUAGAAACCUAAUUAGAGACCAGACUUUGUCAUCUAAAAGAGAUCAAACUCACUUAAAGCUAUCAUCUGAAACGUAUUUUUUACAGACUUUCCCUUGAUUAUUAAUUCAUUUACUUGCACUGCACACGGGUUCACUUAAAUGAACCACCUCUUAACUGCCAAUCAUAUUGGAUUUUUGAGGAUCACUGUUUGUUGGACUUUCUUCUUCUCCUAUUUCUAAUACGUCUCUUAUUUUUCUAUUUUGGUGCUCUUUAAGACAGGAUAUUUUACAUUUUGUAUUCUUCUACAUAACUUUAACAAUGUGCACUAUAUGCUUACUAUUUUGAGUUUUACUAAUAGAGUAGCAGUGAAGUACCAGAACCCCAAGCUAACAGAUUGUCACAUAAACCCAUGGGAUUGGGAACAUGUUACAUGCAAAGAUACCAAAGGGUUUCCUCUGCCAUGGAAUCAAAGCCAGCAAGAAAGGGGAAUUGAGAGAGAGUUCUCCAGCUAUGUGAAUUUAAAGAUUUUCCACCUCUAUGUCAAUUAAACAGAGUAGUGGAAGCAUCAGUUAAUCAUUGCAUAGAUGGAUUUGGAUCAGUAUCAAGGACCAAGAUGUGUGUGCCUUACAUAUAAGGAAAACUUCACUGAUUUUAAUGGGUAUUUUCUUAUUCCUUCAUACUUGAAUAAAUUUAACUCCCAUAAAAGAGUAAAAGAGAUUAACAAUUACAUUGGGCUGGAAUGCUUUAAACUUAUUGUGCCACUGCUUCAGCUAAAGGGGUGAAUGUUUCUUUAAUGAGGAUAAAAUUGAAUGUACUUUAUCUUUCAUUUUACCCUCAUUUGAACAACAGUUAGACUUAGUUUUUAAGCCCAAUACUUUGCAGUCAUAUUUUGGUUAGUGUUUAUCUUAGACUCAUGCACCCUCUACUUCUUACUCUGUACUAAACACUGAAGAUAAAAAUCAAACAGAAUUAGAUCUCUAUUCCUCAGGCUAGUGAUAGAUGCUGGGUAGGGAAUCUGAGUUUAAAUUUUUUUCUGCCCCAAAAUUAUCUGCAUCCAUAAAAUUAAUCAAACUCCCUAAAAAAAACAAAAAAAAAAAAAAAAAAAAACAAAA
ensembl:lncRNA